GACGAACGCUGGCGGCGUGCUUAACACAUGCAAGUCGAACGGUGACGACAGGGCUUGCCUUGUCUGAUCAGUGGCGAACGGGUGAGUAACACGUGAGUAACCUGCCCCUGACUCUGGGAUAACCCCGGGAAACCGGAGCUAAUACCGGAUAUGACACCAAUCCGCAUGGGUAUGGUGUGGAAAGUUUUUCGGUCUGGGAUGGACUCGCGGCCUAUCAGCUUGUUGGUGAGGUAAUGGCUCACCAAGGCGACGACGGGUAGCCGGCCUGAGAGGGCGACCGGCCACACUGGGACUGAGACACGGCCCAGACUCCUACGGGAGGCAGCAGUGGGGAAUAUUGCACAAUGGGCGAAAGCCUGAUGCAGCGACGCCGCGUGAGGGAUGACGGCCUUCGGGUUGUACACCUCUUUCAGCAGGGAAGAAGCGCAAGUGACGGUACCUGCAGAAGAAGCACCGGCUAACUACGUGCCAGCCGCCGCCGUAAAAC
rnacentral:rRNA from 1 species